AUUUGUCAGAGAGGUACCCCUGCCAAGUAAAGUAAUAAAAAAAAAUAUUUUGUUUUGCCUGUAGGACUAUGCCUGCAAUACUAAUUACAUCUAUAUGCAAGACGAGUAAUUCAGAGGAAAGUAUACUAUCGAUCGAUGCACGAAUGGAAUAACGGGCGGGCAGAGUAAAGCUCAGUGAAACCAGUAAACCACCUUAGUGGCGUGAUAUUCCAGUCUUAAGUUGUCAGCAAAUAAAAUGUCUGCAGAACACCCACCAAGAUAUUCUACCUAGUAUCGAGCACGACCACUGGCGGAAGUGCGAAAGUGCAGUAGCGCAUUUGGUAAUAUUGAAAAAUAAAUCAUUCAUGAUCUUAUUGAUGUUUACAAGGAGCACUUCCUGUGAAGCUGUAAAACGAGUCAGAAAGGUUUUCAAUCUCUACAUGUAGCUCACAAGAAUGAUUUUUCUACAUUCUCUUAUUACAAAAAACCGUUGGCAUAGAGAAUAGGCCUACAUACAGGAAACAAAGCAGAGGUUCCUCUUUUGUUGAAUCUACUGGUACACCUUUCAAUCUUCAAUAUUCAUUAAUAAAUUUUAAGACACUCCAUUACAAGACUUUAUUGACCAUCCAUCACAUCUCACAGCUAAACAUAUGAUUUCGAAGAUACAGUUAUAAAAUGCAGUCAAUCUGUGAUAACAUUAGUGUAGACACAGACCUACCAUUUGUAAUGACUAAAAUAGAACAAGCACAGUCAGUUUCAAAACCUGUUAAACCAAUUGAUGUGGAACCUGGACUUGGAUUUGUUCAGAAUGCAGGGCAAGAUCACCUACAAAACAACACAAGGAACAGGAAUUCUAAGGAAUCACCCAUCGGUGAAAAGCAGAAAAUAGUAACUGGUCAAAUACCCCAGAUAUCAUCUCAAACGUCUUUACCACAAAAAAAUCAAGUUCAUGUCAUACAAGAAAAUGAUGUCUUAGGAAAACUUGCCGCUGCACUAGAAACAAUAAAACUUCAGAAUGAAAUAAUUGAAAAACUUAAACAGGAAAGUGGGAUUGCCAGCGAUAUACAUGUACAGACUGAAGAAGUGGUUGAGGAGACUGAUCUGAAAGCUGUUGCCAAAACUGGUGAGAUUUGUACUGAUGAAUAUCAAAUAGUUGAUAUAAUCCCUCUGAUAGAGCAAAAAGGAACAAUGGCACCAUGGGAUCAUUCAAGGAUACGGAGUAAUAUGGAACUUCUCAUAGAAGAAUUAGAUCCAGAUGUUUUAAAAACGCCUCUGUAUUCUAAAUAUGUUCUUGAUAUUGACAAUGUUGACGAAAUAGAUGUUUUACCAACUAGGCGUAAGAAGAAUGAAAAGAUGCUUUAUAUGUUGAUGAGAAGAGGAAACAAGGCAUAUAAAAUAUUCUUAAAGAUUUUAGAGACAUAUGGAUAUAGACAUGUUAUAAAACAACUUGAACCAGAGAGUGAGGAAUAUAAAGGCACCAUAAAAUACCCUGGACAUGAAUUAGUUGAAAUUAUGGAUUACACUAGUCCCAAGCAUAAAGAAUUUAUUGAAAUGAUUGAAUGUGAUAUAGAGUUACAGUAUCCAGAAUCUACUGAAAUAGUUGUAGUUAAAAAGCUAACGAAGGGCUGUGUUGAAGUCACAUUUCAUCUGAUAUCUGUUGGUAAAAAAAGUGAACAUGAACUGCGUCAAAUUUUAGAAACAGCUGUGAAUUCCGGGAAAAUUGGUGAUAACAAAGUUUCACCUGAAGGAUUUUCAUUUGAAAAACUUACAGAAGAUGAGGAAAUCCCGUUGCCUGGAAGCAGCAUUAUUGACCAUGAAAAUGAAAUCAAAUCCUUGAAAUUACAAAUAAAAGAACUGCAGAUUGAAAAUUGUGCAUUAAAGGCCACAUCUGUACACUCUCAUGAAAUGGAGAAAUACAAGGAACAUGAAGCUAAAAAAUAUUCAGACAUCCUUAAAGAGAAGGAACAGAUUAUUUCUAGUUUGCAAGAACAGCUUGAUCAGCAGAAAACAGACAAAGAACAACUUGAUCAGCGGAAAACAGAUGAAAAACAACUUGAUCAGCAGAAAACAGAUGGAAAACAGCUUGAUCAGCAGAAAACAGACAAAGAACAACUUGAUCAGCAGAAAACAGAUGAUAAAGACACCUUGGAGAAAGAAGCCGGUAGUAUUAAAAAAAGUGCAGAAAAACAGGAAUCUCUACCAAUUUUGACCCGUAUACCAGAUCUUACAGAGCAAAAAGGAACAAUGGCACCAUGGGAUCCUUCAAGGAUAACGAGUAAUUGGAUACUUCUCAUAGAAGAAUUAGAUCCCGAUGUUUUAAUAGAUCCUCUGCUUUCUGAAUAUGUGCUUAAUAUUGACGAUGUUGAAAAAAUAGAAGCUUUAUCAACUAAGCGUAAGAAGAUUAAAAAGAUGUUCAAAAUGUUAAUGAAAAGAGGACAUGAGUCAUAUAAAACAUUCUUAAAUGUUUUAAAGACACAUUGAUAUGAAGAUAUUGUACAAAGACUUGAACCAGAGAGUGGUAGUAUUAAAAAAAGUGCAGAAAAACAGGAAUCUCUACCAAUUUUGACCCGUAUACCAGAUCUUACAGUUGAAGAAAAUCGGUGUACAGUGACUAUAAAACUUCAUAUAAAAGAUCUGAAACUGGAGUUAUUUAAGAAGGUACCAGAAAAUGCUGCAGUUGAAUAUUCAUUUAGUGAAAGUGGUUUUGAAGUUACAUGUGAUGUACAGAAUAAAGAUAAAACGGUGACAAAAUAUAAAAAAUUUAUUCAAAAGUUACCUAGUCCUAUUGAUCCAGAAAAAUGUUAUGUUAAGUUUGCAAACGAACAAAUAAUUUUAAUUCUUCAAAAGGCAAAGGAAUGUUCCUGGGAAGUUGAAAUAUUUGAAAAUAUGUUGGAACAAGACAUUGGGAUGGAUUGAAGUCAAGAACUAAAUCUUCUGUACCUGCUGCUCCCAAAUCAUGAAAUUAUUAAACACUAAGAACCAGACCACCCUCUUUACAUAGCACUUCAAGGCUACUUAUACUAAAUAGUCUGGUUUACAAUGGGAGUAGUAAUAUUUAUACUGUAUCUUUUACUAUCAAUCAUUCUAAAAAUUACUUGCAAUAUAAAACCAUGCUAUCUUUGUGUAAUCUAAUUAAAAUACAGAUCAAUAUUUCGUUUUGUAUUUGUUUUUUUAUACUUUCAAUGGCUGUCCUCCACUAUGUGAAGAUCUGACUGGUUGUAAUGGGAGGUCAUGUCAGGGUUCAUAUGAGAAGCUUUUGACCCUAUGACAUCAAACAUUUGAUUAACUAAUCAGCGUUGAUGUUUCUAGUGGGAUUCAGGGGUUUGGAUAACCGAAUAGUUAGCAUGACCUAGUUUUUUUUGUCGAGUGGACGUUAAACCCCAUUUCUCUCUCUCUCAUUAGUGGGAUUCCCAUAGUUCCAUGUAGUGCACGCCAAGACCUCAUCGCAACCAUAGGGCAGGGGGGGCAUUUGCCCCCCCAAAAAUUUAUUUUCGGGCAAUGAAAAAUUCGACGACCUUUUUUUUCUAUUAACAUUUAGAGAAAAAAAAUAAUUAACUUAUUUCUAUGAGAUCCACACUGCCCGAAAAGUAUUUUCUCGUCUUUUUCUUGUCCACUGCAUGCCCGAAGCUCUCUUAUGAUAUGUAUGCCCGAAAAAACGGUAUUGAUUUCGGGCAAUUUUCUCUUAUGCCCCCCUGAAUUACUUUGAGCUCAUACGCCUAUGAUCGCAACAGACCUUUUAUAACAAUUCUUCUAGAUCCUGUAGUAAAGACAUUUAAAACAAGAGAGAGAGAAAUGGGGUUUAAAGUCCACUCAACACAAACUAGGUCAUUUCGGGACUAACACAUGGUUCAAUUUUAUUUCAAUAAUUCGCUUGCGCGUAGGGGUCUUUAGCUGUGGGAGAAAACCGGAGGACCCAGAGAAAACCCACGAGAUUGGACAGGCGACCCUACUCCUUGUCACGUACAACCGGGGACAUUUAAAACAAAAUUGUGAACUUUAAAAAACGAAACGAAAUAAAAUCUGUGUUUUAAUCAGAUUAUAUCUUUGUUGAACUGUAAAAGCUUUAUUAUUGUACAUUAACAUAUUUGAAGGAGUUAUUCCAGAUACUUUUUUGUGAAUCAAACUGAUUAUUAGUGAUGAACACUGGUCCUGUACAAGCAUCAAAAGCUCCAUGGUGGUUUUUACACAAAUUCAAUUAUCAGUUUCGAUAUUCAGCCUGGAUAGAAAUCUCUAUACAUACGUACUUGCUUAAACUAUAGUGAUCGUCAUGGUUAUCAAGUCACUGGUACAACUGAAGUAUGGAUUUGUUUAAGUAACUCCAUCUAGGGUUUACUUCCGAAUGACACUAUUUUGAGCUAAAACUUUAAAAAAUGCACCAAAAUCAAUAGUUGUCCUUAGGUUAUUAGGAAUACAUAUGACAAGUUCAGAUGAUUGGGGGUUUGGAUGGCCGAUUGGUUAGCAUGUGCACGCUGUAUCAUAAGGUCUGUCAUUGAGUCACCGGGCGUGACCCAGGGAUACCAUUUGUAGAUGCUGAUAUGAAAAAUCACAACCAGCUUGAAACAUCAAUAUACAGGAAGCCAAUGUACAUCAACCAGUACAUCUAUUACAACUCAAACCAUAACCUCAAGAUUAAAGAAGCCAUCAUCUCAAUAUUAAUAAACCGUGCAACAUACAUCUGUCACCCAGUUUAUCUACAAAUACCCACAACAACUAGUGAAAAGAGUAAUCCAAUCAGUUAUCCAUCAAACCAAACCACCAACAAAUAAAAACUUAAAUAUGUGUUACCAUACCAUUUAUAGGCAAAACAUCCUACCAUAUCCGACGAGUCCCGAGACAAGCUUGAAUAGAAACUAGUUUUAAAUACGAAGAAACACUGAAGGUAAUCUUGGAAAAUCGGCAUAAAAUAAUCCAAACGAUGUGUAUACUAAAUAACUUGUUCCUGUUCAUCAAUUUCCAUGGGAGAAACUAAAAGGCCUUUGUAGAUAAAAGCAUUAAAGAACAUCAAGCGAAUUCAUCUAACAAUAUAUCUGCCGUGGCUCAACACCUCAGAGAAAAUCUGUGCCAUAAAGUAUGUUGGGAUAGUGUGAAAAUCUUAGUCUGCAACAUACGCAACAAAAACGUACACAAAUUUUCAGAAGCAGUGCUCAUCAAGAAACACCAGCUCAAAUUAAACCAUGACAAUGGACUUCAAAUUCAUAGAGCCUAUGACAUUUUAAUUCAUUAAUAUUGUGCUUUAAUGGACUCAUAAAAUUUUAGUCACAAUAAUGCUGCAAACUUUCUUUUCAUUUCCUACUAUUAAUCAUUUACAACACCUUAA